rnacentral:rRNA from 1 species
CGGACGGGUGAGUAACGCGUGAGAAUCUGGCUUCAGGUCUGGGACAACCACUGGAAACGGUGGCUAAUACCGGAUGUGCCGAAAGGUGAAAGGUUAACUGCCUGAAGAUGAGCUCGCGUCUGAUUAGCUAGUUGGAAGUGUAAUGGACUCCCAAGGCGACGAUCAGUAGCUGGUCUGAGAGGACGAUCAGCCACACUGGGACUGAGACACGGCCCAGACUCCUACGGGAGGCAGCAGUGGGGAAUUUUCCGCAAUGGGCGAAAGCCUGACGGAGCAAUACCGCGUGAGGGAGGAAGGCUCUUGGGUCGUAAACCUCUUUUCUCAGGGAAGAACACAAUGACGGUACCUGAGGAAUAAGCAUCGGCUAACUCCGUGCCAGCAGCCGCGGUAAUACGGAGGAUGCAAGCGUUAUCCGGAAUGAUUGGGCGUAAAGCGUCCGCAGGUGGCAAUGUAAGUCUGCUGUUAAAGAGUCUAGCUCAACUAGAUAAGAGCAGUGGAAACUACAUAGCUAGAGUACGUUCGGGGCAGAGGGAAUUCCUGGUGUAGCGGUGAAAUGCGUAGAGAUCGGGAAGAACACCAGUGGCGAAGGCGCUCUGCUAGGCCGUAACUGACACUGAGGGACGAAAGCUAGGGGAGCGAAUGGGAUUAGAUACCCCAGUAGUC